ensembl:lincRNA uncharacterized LOC110333590
AACAGUAUCUACUUUGCCAGAGGUGAAGGUAGCCCUGGGGAAAAGGUACCUAAUAUGGCAAUACCUAUUACUCUGACCUUCCCCGUUCUGUCUCAGGAAUGUAACUGGCAUUGCACAAGAAGAUGUGCAAGGAGGAAUUACAUCAAGAAAAGCAGCAGGCGCAAGAACACGGCAGAUUCAGGCAGAGAUGAAGAUGGAGCAGAGAAGCCGAGUCAGACUGCACUUGGUACUUCUAGUUGCUUCAAGAAAUUACCUCACACAAGCAGCCUCAGGAGGGGUUGUUUUUACCUCACAGUCCAUCAUGGCAGCCAGAUGCCGCAGCGGGAAGAUCCCAGAGUGUCUGGUCUUGUUGCAUCCACACUCAGGGAGAGCUGAAUGAUGUUAUUCUCCUCCUUUUUAUUCAGUCUGGGACCUCGGCCAUAGAAUGGCACCACACACAUUUAGGGCUUCCAAGCAGGUUCAUUAAAACGUCUUCUACCAAACAUGAACAUCUACAUGCUGAUCUAUCACCAGUGUAUAUUAUAGUACCCACCCUUCUUUUUCUAGCAAGCAUCUUUCAUAAACAGUAUCUGUGAG